rnacentral:rRNA from 1 species
UUGAACGCUGGCGGCAGGCCUAACACAUGCGAGCCGAGCGGCAGCGCGGGGCAACCUGGCGGCGAGCGGCGGACGGGUGAGUAACGCGUAGGAAUCCACCCAGUAGCGGGGGUUAGCCCGGGGAAACUCGGAUUAAUACCGCAUACGCCCUAAGGGGGAAAGCAGGGGAUCUUCGGACCUUGCACUAUUGGCAGAGCCUGCGUUGGAUUAGCUAGUUGGUAGGGUAAAGGCCUACCAAGGCAACGAUCCAUAACUGGUCUGAGAAGAUGAUCAGUCACACCCGGACGGAGACACGGUCCGGACUCCUACGGGAGGCAGCAGUGAGGAAUAUUGGACAAUGGGGGCAACCCUGAUCCAGCCAUGCCGCGUGUGUGAAGAAGGCCUUCGGGUUGUAAAGCACUUUAAGUGGGGAGAAAGGUACGGCAGUUAAUACCUGCCGGAAGUGAUGUUACCCACAGAAUAAGCACCGGCUAACUCUGUGCCAGCCGCCGCAGUAA